rnacentral:rRNA from 1 species
GACGAACGCUGGCGGCGUGCCUAAUACAUGCAAGUUGAGCGCUGAAGGUUGGUACUUGUACCAACUGGAUGAGCAGCGAACGGGUGAGUAACGCGUGGGGAAUCUGCCUUUGAGCGGGGGACAACAUUUGGAAACGAAUGCUAAUACCGCAUAAAAACUUUAAACACAAGUUUUAAGUUUGAAAGAUGCAAUUGCAUCACUCAAAGAUGAUCCCGCGUUGUAUUAGCUAGUUGGUGAGGUAAAGGCUCACCAAGGCGAUGAUACAUAGCCGACCUGAGAGGGUGAUCGGCCACAUUGGGACUGAGACACGGCCCAAACUCCUACGGGAGGCAGCAGUAGGGAAUCUUCGGCAAUAGACGAAAGUCUGACCGAGCAACGCCGCGUGAGUGAAAAAGGUUUUCGGAUCGUAAAACUCUGUUGGUAGAGAAGAACGUUGGUGAGAGUGGAAAGCUCAUCAAGUGACGGUAACUACCCAGAAAGGGACGGCUAACUACGUG